AUUGAACGCUGGCGGAAUGCUUUACACAUGCAAGUCGGGCGGCAGCGCGGGGGCGAACCCUGGCGGCGAGCGGCGAACGGGUGAGUAAUACAUCGGAACGUGUCCUUGAGUGGGGGAGUAGCUCGGCGAAAGCCGGAUUAAUACCGCAUAAGCUCUGAGGAGGAAAGCGGGGGACGUGGUAACGGCCUCGCGCUGUUGGAGCGGCCGAUGUCGGAUUAGCUAGUUGGUGGGGUAAAGGCCCACCAAGGCGACGAUCCGUAGCUGGUCUGAGAGGAUGAUCAGCCACACUGGAACUGAGACACGGUCCAGACUCCUACGGGAGGCAGCAGUGGGGAAGUUUUGGACAAUGGGGGCAACCCUGAUCCAGCCAUUCCGCGUGAGUGAAGAAGGCCUUCGGUUGUAAA
rnacentral:rRNA from 1 species